CGCAUCACCCCACCACCGCAACAUCCUGCCGCGCCGCCGUCUCAUCCAGUCAUCCUCCUGCCCUGCUGCAGCAUCACCCCUCCACCGCAUCCUCUCUGCCCAGCUGCCUCAGUCCUCCGAUCCACCCAUCGCAGCCAGGUCGGACGCGGCCAUCUCCUCACCCCACCGGAUCCCGGCCGCCGCCGAUCUCUUCACCGGCAGGAUUUGAUCUGACAGCCAAAACACCAGUAUCGUAAUCGGCGGCUGCUGCUCUCGUUGCCCACGGGAUCGGACUCCACUUCAUCAACUCACCAGGAAGAUAUGGCUCAGCAAGUUCGAUGAUUUUCUUGUGCUUUGUCCGUCGCUGAAGAAGCGGUGUCAUUUUGUUUGCUAUAAAAUGCAUCUGUAGAUGUUACAAAAAAUGAGAGCAGAUGAUGAGGGCGUGAUGGUGGCUCGUUGGCAAUACCUUGUCAACCUUGUAACUGAACUAGUACUACUUGUGAAGGUUGUGCCAGCCCGGAAGCCACCCAGGACCCCUCCGCCGAUGCUGCCAAUACCCCACGCCCCUCCGUCUUCCUUGCUAGCGCCGGCGGCCAGCUCCGUGGUGCCGCCGCGAAAGAUAGGAAGAACAAAACAGCUCAACUGACAAUUUAAAUAUUUGUAGAGAAAUUUUACAUUUCUUACAACUGAGAAUCUGGGAAAAUAAAACGAAGGGAUUAUCUUUGAUGUGCUGCUUAAAGAUUGUGUCGUUAAGUUGUAGAGAGAACAUCUGCAUCGUGUGUUUUAUGAGUACAGUUAUGGUCUCCUGCUUCACC